ACUCAAAGGAAUUGACGGGGGCCCGCACAAGCGGUGGAGCAUGUGGAUUAAUUCGACGCAACGCGAAGAACCUUACCAAGGCUUGACAUAUAUCUGAAUAGGUCUGAAAGGACGUAGCCUUCGGGCAGAUAUACAGGUGGUGCAUGGUUGUCGUCAGCUCGUGUCGUGAGAUGUUGGGUUAAGUCCCGCAACGAGCGCAACCCUUAUCCUUAGUAGCCAUCGGGUAGAGCCGGGCACUCUAGGGAGACUGCCGUGGAUAACACGGAGGAAGGCGGGGAUGAUGUCAAAUCAUCAUGCCCCUUAUGUCUUGGGCUUCACACGUGCUACAAUGGCCGCAACAAAGCGAAGCGAAGCCGCGAGGUGGAGCAAAGCGCAAAAAAGCGGUCUCAGUUCGGAUUGCAGUCUGCAACUCGACUGCAUGAAGCCGGAAUCGCUAGUAAUCGCGAAUCAGCAUGUCGCGGUGAAUACGUUCCCGGGCCUUGUACACACCGCCCGU
rnacentral:rRNA from 1 species